rnacentral:tRNA from 2 species
GGUGAGAUGCCCGAGUGGCUGAAGGGGCCCGCCUGGAAAGCGUGUAUACGGAUUACCGUAUCGGGGGUUCGAAUCCCCCUCUCACCGCCA